UCUGAUGGUUUCCCGAAACACAUGAAAACGAGGAUCCUACAGAGAGCAUCUUCGAGAUGCAAGCAAAAUGGCUUGUUUGAUGAAGCGGUAAACCCAAGGAUUUAUCGCUGACGAAUGGGAAAGUAGGCCUAUUGUUGAAGCAGAGGCCUAGAUGACAGCUGUGGAAGAUGACCUAACAGCAAAUGGUGAAAGUGGGGAGGGUUUACAGUCUGAAGCUUCGAACUUUGCUGUUGACGAUGUGAUCGAUAAGGACAACGAGGAAGGCUGCCAGUAUGAUGGUUACAGCAUUACUUUUGAUGAUGACAUCAAUGAAGACAGCCUAGGCAGUGAUCGAAACAGUCAAAUAUUAGAUCAAAGUAGAGAGAGGGAGACUGACAUCCUAUUUCGGUGUGAUGAUAAAUAUGAGGAAGGGCAGCAUAAAUUGUCUGCUCAAGCUUGUAAAGACCUAAUGCAGCUUGUUUCGGCUCACUUUUCGUUAGGUCUCUGUGCUAUGACCUCGUUGUACUGCCUGAAAUCAUAUCUUACUAAAACCUGUGCUCCUAUGAAACCAAUGAGAGCAUUUGUACGUCCCAGCUGUGAAGACUUAAUUGCAAACAGUGCAGCAGACCAAUGUAGCAGGGAGCAAUGUCAAGAAGCAACUGCAAAAUCUUAUGAAUUUUUUAUGUGAAAAAUGUACUAUCUCGACUGUUUAAAGACAGUGAAUUAUGUUUGAAACUUUCUGCUUGUUUUGAGAAAAGAAAUAAUUCUGAUAUGUCUGAUAUAACAAGCGGCAAAAGAUACAGGAAUAUGACUACUGCAUUAUUAUCGAAGUGGAAUAUCACACUGACUUUGAACACGGAUGGUGUAUCUGUUUUUAGAACUUCACGAACUGUGUCUCUUUGGCCUGUGUAUCUUACCAUUAAUGAACUUCCUCCUCAAUGCAGAUUUUCACUCAAGUAUGCCAUUGUCUGUGCUAUUUGGUUUCAUCCAUCGAAACUGUCUAUACAAGCAUUUCUACAACGUCUGAUGAGUCAGCUGAAGGAACUGUCUACAAAUGGAGAAACUUUCAAGACAGCUGAAGGAUUGCAGCUCUGCAAAGUUAAUCUGAUUUUCAUUACUUGUGAUGUACCAGGCAGGGUAAUGGUCCUUUGCAUGAAGCAGCAGAAUGGACAGUAUGCCUUUUCUUAUUGUUAUAAUCCAGGCGUUACUAUUGGCAGUGAUCACCUUUUAUUCGAUAUUGGCCGAUUAAACACCAUGCUAUUGCCAGAACCCAUGCCAGUGUUGUUAGUGAUAUGACGGAGGCAGUAGAUCUACGACAUCCAGACAGUAUUUAUUAACAAUAUGUACAUAUGUAUUUUGCAGUUACAUUUUUGUUUUGAUGCAGGUCAAGGAAAUGCUGAAUGUAGUAUCUCCACUCUUAGCAAUACCGGGAUUUGACGUAGUAGAGGGAACAGCUAUUGUCUGGAUGAACGUAGUUUGCUUGGGUAUUACUCGAUCACUGCUUGACAGGUGGCUGAAUUUUUCUGAAGAAAUCUACUUUAUUGGUGAUAAGACAAAUAUCUACAUUUAUAUAUGCACCUACUGUAAACUUUGCUAUGUAAGAGUCUUAAUUUUGUGCAGGUAACUUUCCUUGUUAAGCGUCUCCUUUCAAUUAAAGCACCUGACCACUUUAGUCGAAUUCCACAUACGCUGAAAGAGUUUUCCACAUGGAAGGGUAUUGUUAAUAAUCAGACAUUUUAUUGGUUGUCUUUAACAGUAAGAUAAUAUUUUUUAGCUAGUGAAUACAGAUCAUGGCUGUUUUACUGGUCUCUUCCAGUGCUUAGAGGAAUUCUGCCAAGAGAGUACUAUAUCCAUUACAGCUUACUUGUUGGAUGUCGUCUCCUUUGUGGAAUGAAGAUGUCUUCCAAUGAUAUUGAUAGAGCACGACAACUUUUGCUGAAGUUUUACGAAAGGCAUGAACUGCUUUAUGGUACAACAACUUGCACUAUGAAGAUGCGUAUCUUGCAGCAUCUUUCAGAGUUUGUGGAGAGAUCUGGACCAUAAUGGGCCUCGACUUGUUUCUUUUCGAAAAUUUAAAUGGAUUACUAAAAAAGUUUGUGCAUGGAACAAGAUUUGUGUCUAAUCAGAUUGCAGCUGCAGUAUUAUUGGUGCAGUCGAUUCCACAAUUGUUUCCUUCUGUAGAAGAGGAUGUGCUUUCACCUGAAGCUGUAGCAUUGAUUCAAAAAUUCGCCAUUUUCAGUACAGUCACUUAAUUUGAUAUUCCAGAAGUUGACAUUCACAGUCUUUAUAGUUUUGGGUUUCUAUAGCACUGCUGGAAAAUGUUACAGUACUUUUUUGUGCUCAUCCAAAAGGAGCUGUUCUUGAUGACAAGUACGUCGUUGCUAUCAACAAGGUACUUCAAAGAAAGGGGAAUUACCCAAUUGAUGGCAGAAGUCUUGUCACUAUAAAUAGAAAGUUAUAUGUGAAUGGUAUCAUGGUGCACAGUCGAGCUACUCAAAAGUCUAAAAGAAAUUCAUAUACUGUGGAGUGUCAUGAUGGAGAUACAGUUUUGUUUGGCUAUGUUGAACUAUUCAUUACUAAUAGGGCCCAACAGUAUGCUGUCAUUUGAAAGUUCACAUUAGAAGAAUGGCCAAUAUGUGUGCCUCAAGGAAAUGAUCUUUUAGAUAUUGUUUCUACAUUUGGAGACUUACAGGAGCUUUUGGGUGAACACUGUAUUCCUGUUUCUGAAACUGAUAAUCUGGUAGCAGUUUUACUAGACAGCGUUGUUGCUCAAGUAGUUUGCAUAGAGAUGCAUAGUUCUUCUGUUUUGUAUUUGGUACCUAUGCCGGAUUGCACUUGAAUGUGAUUUGAAUGAUAUGGAAUUUCAUCUGAUAGUAUAAAAUAAAUGUGAAAUUGUUGA